GCUCAGCCCUAAACAUUGGUAGUUCCCCACACAAACUGCCCGCCCGGGAAGUACAAGCAUAAGCUCGAAACCCAAAGGACUUGGCGGUGCUUAAGACCCACCUAGAGGAGCCUGUUCUAGAACCGAUACCCCCCGUUCAACCUCACCCUCUCUUGAUCCUUCCGCCUAUAUACCGCCGUCGUCAGCUUACCCUAUGAAGGAAUCAUAGUAAGCAAAACUGGCACAGCCCCAAACGUCAGGUCGAGGUGCAGCAUAUGAGAGGGGAAGAAAUGGGCUACAUUAACUAUUUUAGUUAACACGGAUGAUGCACUGAAACACGCAUCUGAAGGAGGAUUUAGCAGUAAGCAGAGAAUAGAGCGCUCCGCUGAAGUAGGCUCUAAAGCGCGCACACACCGCCCGUCAUUCUCCCCUACCCAACCUUUCGCAUAUAAUUAAUGCACCUUAAACAUUAAGGGGAGGCAAGUCGUAACAUGGUAAGUGUACCGGAAGGUGUACUUGGACAAACCAGGACGUAGCUAAAAUAGUAAAGCACCUCACUUACACCGAGCAACUAUCCGUGCAAGUCGGAUCGCCCUGAACCAAACAGCUAGCCCAUCAAUUAAAAACCAAAUAUCAUCAUGAAUAAACCCUUAAGCACAACCACAAGCAUGCCCAAACCAUUUUACCUCCUGAGUACGGGCGACGGAAAAGGAACUCGGAGCCAUAGACAAAGUACCGCAAGGGAACGCUGAAAGAGUGUAUGAAAUAGCCCAGUAAAGUAACAAAAAGCAGAGACUAGCACUCGUACCUUUUGCAUCAUGAUUUAGCCAGUACCACCAGGCAAAGAGAACUUUAGUCUGGCCCCCCGAAACUAAGUGAGCUACUCCAAGACAGCCUAUAUAGGGCCAACCCGUCUCUGUAGCAAAAGAGUGGGAAGAGCUUUGAGUAGAGGUGAUAGAUCUACCGAACUUAGUAAUAGCUGGUUGCCUGAGAAAUGAAUAGGAGUUCAGCCUUCUAACUUCUCCCCUCACACAACUUUGAUUCAUCAGACACAAGAAACUAGAAGAGUUAGUCGAAGGGGGUACAGCCCCUUCGAACAAGAAACAACUUCCAUAGCCGGGUAAAGAUCAAAAUAAUUUAAGGAGACAUGUCCAAGUGGGCUUAAAAGCAGCCACCUAAACUGAAAGCGUUAAAGCUCAGACAUUUCCACCCCCACCCUUCCCCUGAUCCCGAUAAUAUCAUCUAAACCCCCUCCCCCCUACCAGGCUGUUUUAUGCAAACAUAAAAGCACCCCUGCUAAAAUGAGUAAUAAGAAAGGUACCAGCCUUUCUCCAAGCACGCACAUACAUCGAAACGGACCUUCCAUCGAACAUUACCGGCCCCAACCAAAGAGGGAAACGAGAAACUAAAAAAUAACCAAGAAAACCCCCCCCCCCCCCAAAAACCGUUAAGCCUACACUGGCGUGCUAACUAGGAAAGACCAAAAGAAAAAGAAGGAACUCGGCAAACACAUUAGCCUCGCCUGUUUACCAAAAACAUCGCCUCUUGUAAACUAAAAAUAAGAGGUCCCGCCUGCCCAGUGACAACAUGUUCAACGGCCGCGGUAUUAUGACCGUGCGAAGGUAGCGCAAUCACUUGUCUUUUAAAUGAAGGCCCGUAUGAAUGGCAUAACGAGGGCUAAACUGUCUCCUUUUUCCGGUCAAUGAAAUUGAUCUCCCCGUGCAGAAGCGGGGCUAUGCCCAUAAGACGAGAAGACCCUGUGGAGCUUUAGACAACAGGCCAGACCUUAUUCAGCCUCCCCCCUUAAUAAAGGGGCCAGCCCAAGGACGCUGACCCAAUGUCUUCGGUUGGGGCGACCCCGGAGCACACAAAACCUCCGUACGGAACAGGAGAACUUCUCCCACAGCCAAGAGUAACUACUCUAAGAAAUAGAAUUUCUAACCAAAGGAUCCGGCAAAGCCGAUUAACGAACUAAGUUACCCCAGGGAUAACAGCGCAAUCCCCUUUCAGAGUCCCUAUCGACAAGGGGGUUUACGACCUCGAUGUUGGAUCAGGACAUCCUAAUGGUGCAACCGCUAUUAAGGGUUCGUUUGUUCAACGAUUAAAGUCCU
rnacentral:misc_RNA from 1 species